rnacentral:rRNA from 1 species
UGGGGGAUAUUGCACAAUGGGGGAAACCCUGAUGCAGCGACGCCGCGUGAGUGAAGAAGUAUUUCGGUAUGUAAAGCUCUAUCAGCAGGGAAGAAGAUGACAGUACCUGACUAAGAAGCCCCGGCUAACUACGUGCCAGCAGCCGCGGUAAUACGUAGGGGGCAAGCGUUAUCCGGAUUUACUGGGUGUAAAGGGAGCGUAGACGGUUAUGUAAGUCUGGAGUGAAAGCCCGGGGCCCAACCCCGGGACUGCUUGAAACUGUGUAACUAGAGUACAGGAGGGGCAGGCGGAAUUGCCUGGUGUAGCGGUGAAAUGCGUAGAUAUCAGGAGGAACACCGGCGGCGAAGGCGGCCUGCUGGACUGAAACUGACGUUGAGGCUCGAAAGCGUGGGGAGCAAACAGGAUUAGAUACCC